AAUAAACGCUGGCGGCAUGCCUAACACAUGCAAGUCGAACGAACAAUCCGGAGCUUGCUCCGGAGCGUUAGUGGCAGACGGGUGAGUAACGCGUGGGCAAUCUACCUUAGAGGUGGGGGAUACCUCUCCGAAAGGAGGGUUAAUACCGCAUAAAAUCGAGAGGUCUAAGGGCCAUUCGAUCAAAGCUGGGGAUCUUCGGACCUGGUGCUUAAAGAGGAGCUCGCGUCAGAUUAGCUAGUUGGUGGGGUAACGGCCUACCAAGGCGACGAUCUGUAGCCGGCCUGAGAGGGUGAUCGGCCACACUGGAACUGAGACACGGUCCAG
rnacentral:rRNA from 1 species